UACGAAGGGGGCUAGCGUUGUUCGGAAUUACUGGGCGUAAAGCGCACGUAGGCGGAUCGAUCAGUCAGGGGUGAAAUCCCAGGGCUCAACCCUGGAACUGCCUUUGAUACUGUCGAUCUGGAGUAUGGAAGAGGUGAGUGGAAUUCCGAGUGUAGAGGUGAAAUUCGUAGAUAUUCGGAGGAACACCAGUGGCGAAGGCGGCUCACUGGUCCAUUACUGACGCUGAUGUGCGAAAGCGUGGGGAGCAAACAGG
rnacentral:rRNA from 1 species